UACGGGAGGCAGCAGUGGGGAAUAUUGCACAAUGGGGGAAACCCUGAUGCAGCAACGCCGCGUGAAGGAAGAAGUAUUUCGGUAUGUAAACUUCUAUCGACAGGGAAGAAACAAAUGACGGUACCUGAAUAAGAAGCACCGGCUAAAUACGUGCCAGCAGCCGCGGUAAUACGUAUGGUGCAAGCGUUAUCCAGAUUUACUGGGUGUAAAGGGUGAGUAGGCGGUCAUGCAAGUCAUAUGUGAAAUGUCAGGGCUUAACCUUGGCGCUGCAUAAGAAACUGUAUGACUAGAGUGCAGGAGAGGUAAGCGGAAUUCCUAGUGUAGCGGUGAAAUGCGUAGAUAUUAGGAAGAACACCGGUGGCGAAGGCGGCUUACUGGACUGUUACUGACGCUGAGUCACGAAAGCGUGGGGAGCAAACAGGAUUAGAUACCCUGGUAGUCCACGCCGUAAACGAUGAGUGCUAGGUGUUGGCCAGAGAUGGUCGGUGCCGCAGCAAACGCAAUAAGCACUCCACCUGGGGAGUACGACCGC
rnacentral:rRNA from 1 species